CGGCGCCACGAGUGGGGAUCACUUUUAUUGGGCCUAAAGCGUCCGUAGCCGGUUUGUUAAGUCUCUUGUGAAAUCGUUGGGCUCAACUCAACGGCGUGCAGGAGAAACUGGCAGACUCGGGACCGGGAGGAGUCAGAGGUAUGCUUGGGGGAGCGGUAAAAUGCUAUAAUCCCUUGUAGACCACCUGUGGCGAAGGCGUCUGACUAGAACGGAUCCGACGGUGAGGGACGAAAGCCAGGGGAGCGAUCCGGAUUAGAUACCCGAGUAGUCC
rnacentral:rRNA from 1 species